rnacentral:rRNA from 1 species
CCUACGGGGGGCAGCAGUGGGGAAUAUUGGACAAUGGGGGCAACCCUGAUCCAGCCAUGCCGCGUGUGUGAAGAAGGCCCUCGGGUUGUAAAGCACUUUCAGUGAGGAAGAACGCCUGGUGGUUAAUACCCAUCAGGAAAGACAUCACUCACAGAAGAAGCACCGGCUAACUCCGUGCCAGCAGCCGCGGUAAUACGGAGGGUGCGAGCGUUAAUCAGAAUUACUGGGCGUAAAGCGCGCGUAGGUGGCUUGAUAAGCCGGUUGUGAAAGCCCCGGGCUCAACCUGGGAACGGCAUCCGGAACUGUCAAGCUAGAGUGCAGGAGAGGAAGGUAGAAUUCCCGGUGUAGCGGUGAAAUGCGUAGAGAUCGGGAGGAAUACCAGUGGCGAAGGCGGCCUUCUGGACUGACACUGACACUGAGGUGCGAAAGCGUGGGUAGCAAACAGGAUUAGAUACCCCAGUAGUC